rnacentral:rRNA from 1 species
UACGUAGGGUCCGAGCGUUGUCCGGAAUUAUUGGGCGUAAAGGGCGCGUAGGCGGCGCGAGGAGUCGGGGGUGAAAGUCCGGGGCUCAACCCCGGAUCGGCCUUCGAUACUCUCGCGCUGGAGCACAGUAGAGGCGGGUGGAAUUCCGGGUGUAGCGGUGGAAUGCGUAGAGAUCCGGAAGAACACCGGUGGCGAAGGCGGUUAGCUGGGCAGUUGCUGACACUGAGGCGCGACAGCGUGGGGAGCAAACAGG